UACGAAGGGGGCUAGCGUUGCUCGGAAUCCCUGGGCGUAAAGCGCACGUAGGCGGAUCUUUAAGUCAGGGGUGAAAUCCUGGAGCUCAACUCCAGAACUGCCUUUGAUACUGGGGAUCUCGAGUCCGGGAGAGGUGAGUGGAACUCCGAGUGUAGAGGUGAAAUUCGUAGAUAUUCGGAAGAACACCAGUGGCGAAGGCGGCUCACUGGCCCGGUACUGACGCUGAGGUGCGAAAGCGUGGGGAGCAAACAGG
rnacentral:rRNA from 1 species